GCAGUGGCUCAGUGGUAGAGCAUCUGCUUGGCUUGCAGUGGGCCUGAGGUUCGGUCCCCAGCAUCUCCA
rnacentral:tRNA from 1 species